rnacentral:rRNA from 1 species
UUAAGCGACUAAGCGUACACGGUGGAUGCCCUGGCAGUCAGAGGCGAUGAAGGACGUGCUAAUCUGCGAUAAGCGUCGGUAAGGUGAUAUGAACCGUUAUAACCGGCGAUUUCCGAAUGGGGAAACCCAGUGUGAUUCGUCACACUAUCAUUAACUGAAUCCAUAGGUUAAUGAGGCGAACCGGGGGAACUGAAACAUCUAAGUACCCCGAGGAAAAGAAAUCAACCGAGAUUCCCCCAGUAGCGGCGAGCGAACGGGGAGCAGCCCAGAGCCUGAAUCAGUGUGUGUGUUAGUGGAAGCGUCUGGAAAGGCGCGCGAUACAGGGUGACAGCCCCGUACACAAAAAUGCACAUGCUGUGAGCUCGAUGAGUAGGGCGGGACACGUGGUAUCCUGUCUGAAUAUGGGGGGACCAUCCUCCAAGGCUAAAUACUCCUGACUGACCGAUAGUGAACCAGUACCGUGAGGGAAAGGCGAAAAGAACCCCGGCGAGGGGAGUGAAAAAGAACCUGAAACCGUGUACGUACAAGCAGUGGGAGCACGCUUCGGCGUGUGACUGCGUACCUUUUGUAUAAUGGGUCAGCGACUUAUAUUCUGUAGCAAGGUUAACCGAAUAGGGGAGCCGAAGGGAAACCGAGUCUUAACUGGGCGUUAAGUUGCAGGGUAUAGACCCGAAACCCGGUGAUCUAGCCAUGGGCAGGUUGAAGGUUGGGUAACACUAACUGGAGGACCGAACCGACUAAUGUUGAAAAAUUAGCGGAUGACUUGUGGCUGGGGGUGAAAGGCCAAUCAAACCGGGAGAUAGCUGGUUCUCCCCGAAAGCUAUUUAGGUAGCGCCUCGUGAAUUCAUCUCCGGGGGUAGAGCACUGUUUCGGCAAGGGGGUCAUCCCGACUUACCAACCCGAUGCAAACUGCGAAUACCGGAGAAUGUUAUCACGGGAGACACACGGCGGGUGCUAACGUCCGUCGUGAAGAGGGAAACAACCCAGACCGCCAGCUAAGGUCCCAAAGUCAUGGUUAAGUGGGAAACGAUGUGGGAAGGCCCAGACAGCCAGGAUGUUGGCUUAGAAGCAGCCAUCAUUUAAAGAAAGCGUAAUAGCUCACUGGUCGAGUCGGCCUGCGCGGAAGAUGUAACGGGGCUAAACCAUGCACCGAAGCUGCGGCAGCGACGCUUAUGCGUUGUUGGGUAGGGGAGCGUUCUGUAAGCCUGUGAAGGUGUGCUGUGAGGCAUGCUGGAGGUAUCAGAAGUGCGAAUGCUGACAUAAGUAACGAUAAAGCGGGUGAAAAGCCCGCUCGCCGGAAGACCAAGGGUUCCUGUCCAACGUUAAUCGGGGCAGGGUGAGUCGACCCCUAAGGCGAGGCCGAAAGGCGUAGUCGAUGGGAAACAGGUUAAUAUUCCUGUACUUGGUGUUACUGCGAAGGGGGGACGGAGAAGGCUAUGUUGGCCGGGCGACGGUUGUCCCGGUUUAAGCGUGUAGGCUGGUUUUCCAGGCAAAUCCGGAAAACUAAGGCUGAGGCGUGAUGACGAGGCACUACGGUGCUGAAGCAACAAAUGCCCUGCUUCCAGGAAAAGCCUCUAAGCAUCAGGUAACAUCAAAUCGUACCCCAAACCGACACAGGUGGUCAGGUAGAGAAUACCAAGGCGCUUGAGAGAACUCGGGUGAAGGAACUAGGCAAAAUGGUGCCGUAACUUCGGGAGAAGGCACGCUGAUAUGUAGGUGAGGUCCCUCGCGGAUGGAGCUGAAAUCAGUCGAAGAUACCAGCUGGCUGCAACUGUUUAUUAAAAACACAGCACUGUGCAAACACGAAAGUGGACGUAUACGGUGUGACGCCUGCCCGGUGCCGGAAGGUUAAUUGAUGGGGUCAGCGCAAGCGAAGCUCUUGAUCGAAGCCCCGGUAAACGGCGGCCGUAACUAUAACGGUCCUAAGGUAGCGAAAUUCCUUGUCGGGUAAGUUCCGACCUGCACGAAUGGCGUAAUGAUGGCCAGGCUGUCUCCACCCGAGACUCAGUGAAAUUGAACUCGCUGUGAAGAUGCAGUGUACCCGCGGCAAGACGGAAAGACCCCGUGAACCUUUACUAUAGCUUGACACUGAACAUUGAGCCUUGAUGUGUAGGAUAGGUGGGAGGCUUAGAAGUGUGGACGCCAGUCUGCAUGGAGCCGACCUUGAAAUACCACCCUUUAAUGUUUGAUGUUCUAACGUUGACCCGUAAUCCGGGUUGCGGACAGUGUCUGGUGGGUAGUUUGACUGGGGCGGUCUCCUCCUAAAGAGUAACGGAGGAGCACGAAGGUUGGCUAAUCCUGGUCGGACAUCAGGAGGUUAGUGCAAUGGCAUAAGCCAGCUUGACUGCGAGCGUGACGGCGCGAGCAGGUGCGAAAGCAGGUCAUAGUGAUCCGGUGGUUCUGAAUGGAAGGGCCAUCGCUCAACGGAUAAAAGGUACUCCGGGGAUAACAGGCUGAUACCGCCCAAGAGUUCAUAUCGACGGCGGUGUUUGGCACCUCGAUGUCGGCUCAUCACAUCCUGGGGCUGAAGUAGGUCCCAAGGGUAUGGCUGUUCGCCAUUUAAAGUGGUACGCGAGCUGGGUUUAGAACGUCGUGAGACAGUUCGGUCCCUAUCUGCCGUGGGCGCUGGAGAACUGAGGGGGGCUGCUCCUAGUACGAGAGGACCGGAGUGGACGCAUCACUGGUGUUCGGGUUGUCAUGCCAAUGGCACUGCCCGGUAGCUAAAUGCGGAAGAGAUAAGUGCUGAAAGCAUCUAAGCACGAAACUUGCCCCGAGAUGAGUUCUCCCUGACUCCUUGAGAGUCCUGAAGGAACGUUGAAGACGACGACGUUGAUAGGCCGGGUGUGUAAGCGCAGCGAUGCGUUGAGCUAACCGGUACUAAUGAACCGUGAGGCUUAACCUU